AAUGCAUUUUAUGAAGAAAAAACCCGGAGGAUCCCACCAGCUUGUGAGGGUUCAUAAAAUAACUUUAAGUGAUUAGAGGUUUCACCUUUCAUCCGAAUCGUUUAUUGAGAUCUAAUGGUUGAGAUUGGAAGUUUCAAGUUUUCGCCUGAUAUGUCGCAUUACUCGCAUAUAGCUUGCCUCUCCAAUAGGAGAUAUAUCUCUAACCGACUUGAUUGGUUGGACUCUAAAAAAGCUAUAGCCAAACUAGUUGCACCCAGAGACCAACUACGCAUAAAGAUUUGGUUAUGAUAUCAAAAAGAACAGUUGAGGCAAUAACUAAACAAGGAUCAUCUAAAAAAAAUGUGGACAAGGAUAAAUUGGACUGGUCUUGGGUUUGUCCAAUAUCAUAAGAAGAAAAAAAGAGGAAAGUAUAGUUUUCACCCCCUUAAUUGACAGGAAAGUAUAGAAUUGUUCAUAAACUUUUUUCCUACACAUUUAGUCCCUCCUACAAGUGGCAAAACCAGAGAAGUUUGGUCUCUCGGGCCACUCGAAAUGGUUUGUAAGCGUGGUGUGUGGUUUCAACCUAACAUGACCACCAAGAUGGCACAUUGCCUUUCUAUCCCUCCGUAGUUGAUUUGCAUUCUCUCUCGCGGGCGCCACUGAACCCUAAGUCUUGUUGCUCUAGCUUAAGUGGCGACCCUGACACAGGUAAUUGCGGUAGAUGCUACUUGGUGAAGUAGUACGCUGUGAAGAAGAAUUCAUUCGGUAGAGGAGUCUUCCAAGGCUGGAGGUUGUUUAGGCAGCUUGAAGGUGCUACUGGAAACCUACAAUUCUAAGAUAAUGGGCAAGUGUGUGGCAAUCGUAAGUAAUAGACGAGUUGGGAAGAACUACUUCGAUUACGACAACGUCAAUACGCCACGUCAACUUUUCCUCCACUAAUUGGUGACUUUAUUGUGAUGUUGGAAGAGAACUACUACUCCCUCCGACCGGUAUUAGUUGUCUCAAAUUUACCCAAAUACGGAUGUAUCUAUAUGUGUAAAAAGUGUCUAGAUAAAUGUAAUAUUUCGACAAGUCCGGCCGGAGAAAGUACUACAGUUACUAUAUAUUUUUUGUUCCGAUUCUCA